rnacentral:rRNA from 2 species
UGCUCUGGUGGUCAUAGCGGAGGGGCAACACCCGUUCCCAUUCCGAACACGGAAGUUAAGCCCUCCAGCGCCGAGAAUACUGCGGGAAGGUAACCCGUGGGAAGGUAGGUCGCCGCCAGAG